rnacentral:sRNA from 1 species
GUGCGCUUAUAUGCUUGUAGGUCUGCCAAUUAGUCGAUAUAUUUAUGCGAUGAUUGUUAUUGUUUAACUUUUUCUUUUCACAUUUAAUCGAUAUUUGAGACAUUCAUCGUUUAUUUUCACCCUUUUUCCGAUUUAUUAUAUUUAUAGUCGUGUAGGGCAGAAUAAUCGAACAAUUUGCUUUCGUUUACGUUAAUUGUUAUAAUUUAAUUCUCGGUGUCUGCUGGCCAUAUUCCAUUGUUUAUAAGUUUUACUAAGGAUUGUGCAAGUAGAGGAGUCGAUUAAGCGUGCCAGGGAAGGCGUUUUGUUUAUUUGCGUGUCCAAUAUGAGGGUAUGGAAUGCCGUUUAAAUACAGAAAUGAUGACAAUC